GAUUAUGGCUCAGAUUGAACGCUGGCGGCGUGCUUAACACAUGCAAGUCGCGCGUGAAAGGACUUCGGUCCGAGUAAAGCGGCGCACGGGUGAGUAACGCGUGGAUGAUCUACCCAUGAGUUAGGAAUAACGGCUGGAAACGGUCGCUAAUACCAAAUACGCUCCGAUUUCAACUUCGGGGGAAAGGUGGCCUCUGCUUGCAAGCUACUGCUCAUGGAUGAGUCCGCGUCCCAUUAGCUAGUUGGUGGGGUAACGGCCCACCAAGGCGACGAUGGGUAGCCGGUCUGAGAGGAUGACCGGCCACACUGGGACUGGAACACGGCCCAGACUCCUACGGGGGGCAGCAGUGGGGAAUAUUGCGCAAUGGGCGAAAGCCUGACGCAGCGACGCCGCGUGAGGGAUGAAAGGUCCUCGGAUCGUAAACCCCUGUCAGGAGGGAAGAACCGCCACGGUGCUGAUCAGCCGUGGUCUGACGGUACCUCCAAAGGAAGCACCGGCUAACUCCGUGCCAGCAGCAGC
rnacentral:rRNA from 1 species